rnacentral:rRNA from 1 species
GACGAACGCUGGCGGCGUGCUUAACACAUGCAAGUCGAACGGAAAGGCUCCAGCUUGCUGGCGUACUCGAGUGGCGAACGGGUGAGUAACACGUGGGUAAUCUGCCCUGCACUCUGGGAUAAGCCUGGGAAACUGGGUCUAAUACUGGAUAUGACCUUUCUCCUUAUGGGGUUUGGUGGAAAGUUUUUCGGUGUAGGAUGAGCCCGCGGCCUAUCAGCUUGUUGGUGGGGUGAUGGCCUACCAAGGCGACGACGGGUAGCCGGCCUGAGAGGGUGAUCGGCCACAUUGGGACUGAGAUACGGCCCAGACUCCUACGGGAGGCAGCAGUGGGGAAUAUUGCACAAUGGGCGGAAGCCUGAUGCAGCGACGCCGCGUGAGGGAUGACGGCCUUCGGGUUGUAAACCUCUUUCAGUAGGGACGAAGCGUAAGUGACGGUACCUGCAGAAGAAGCACCGGCUAACUAUGUG